UCCCACUUGCUCCCGAAGAACUCCGAAGUUCAAUUCACCUUCCCCAGCUCCUAGAAUUGAAACUCUCAAGGUCUAUCUCACAAAACAGAGGAAGUUUCAAAUCUGACAAGUUAUUCUGGUCCUUAUCACCCAUAUGAUAGAGAUAAGAAGAACUCUUUCCUAAUAUAGAACUAAACAACUAUCCAUCAUCAUAAAGAAAUGGCAAGGUCUCUGACUGGGACCUGAGUUUGAAGAAAAAAAUUCUCUUGAGAUAUUGAAACAUGUGCAUACCUCUUG